AGCCUAAUGGGAGAGACAAAGAAACAAAAGAAGUAAAUACUACAGAAUUAUUUUAUCACUGAAUAGAGCUUAUAGCUGUGGUCCACGCCAAAUGCUGUUGGCCCAGCCUGUGGAGGGGAAGGCCCUCCGGGGGUCAGGGCAGACCCCGCAGGGAGUAGGAAGCUGGAAGAAGGCCGGGCCUCCACGCCCCAUUCUGCCUCCAGGCUUCGGGGUGCAAUGGCUGCAAGACAGAUAGGAGACCUGGCCCCGGGCACUGGGCUCCCCUGGCAAGAAGUUGAAGCUGGACAGUGUCGGGGUUGCUUGGACAGCUCAGCAGUGUCUUUCCCCGUGCUCUCUUUCAACGUCCUGAGCACGUAGGCUUUGUGUCCUAAGCAUAUGGCCCCCCGGGCCCAACCUCCAGGCACUUUUUCUCCCAUGCUGGUGCCCAGAAGAGAAACAGGAAGGAGCCUGGAAAUAAGGCUCUCCCCUCCCCUCCCCUCCCCUCCUCAGCCCCGCAGACACCCCAUGCACCCCGGGGAUCAGGGCUGGGUGCUGGCCCAUGGGGGUGAGAUGUCUGCUUUGGUGGGGGCAGGGAGGAGUGGCUGGGGGGGGUCUAUGCCUGAUUCCCUCUGUCCAGCUUCCAGGAUUGGUCUGCCGAGCUCUCGGCAUCGUUUCCCUCCUCCUCCUCCUCCUCCUCCUCCGGCCACCCCCACUCCCUCCUGGACCCCAGCCUCCUGCAGGCUCCUCCGUCUUCCAGUCCUUUAGACGGACCCUCAAGGCCGUCUUCUCUCCUCCCCUACGCGCCAUCCUCAGUUUUUCAUCCUUGAUUCAUCUGUUCAGCGCAUGCUCCUCCUCCACCAGAACGUCCCUCCCCGGCCUUCCUCAGCCUGGCCGCUCUGUGCGCAGCUCAGACGGCACCUCCUCGUUGUUGAAGCCUUCCCGGGCCCUGCAGGUGCCGACCCUUCCUCCCGGCGCCCCCAGCACCCUGGACUGACCUCAGUCCCGGCACUUGUCAUUUUGCACUGAACAUGUCUGUCCAGCUGUUCGCACUGUCCCUGUCCCCAGGGACAGGGACUCUGUUCUUCUUUGCCUCUCCAGUGCCUGGCACCUGGCACAGGGCUCCUCAAACAGCAGCUGCUCAGAGCGUGUCGUGGGAGGGAGACUAGAUGGGCAGGAAGAGGGCAUCUGGCAGGCAGUUGCGGGGGCAGAUGGGAUAAAGGGGCGCCGGGCAAGGGCUGGAGGCAGGUGGUAGGUUGGGAGGGGAGGGGAGGGGCACGGAGGGGUGCGCGCUGCUCACAGCAGAUUCCAAACAUCCUAUCAUUUCAUUCAUAAGUACUUCAGCGCAUCUCAAAAGGUACAGAAUAGGACUCUUACUUAAAAACAAGCCAUAAGCACCAUAGCCUUAUACACUUUUAAAAAAUUUUUUUGAAAAUUUUGAAAAAUUUUGUUUUUUGAAGCCUGAGCAGUAAAAAAGGAAAUCUUCUAGACCAGAAGGACGUCUCCCCAAAGGGUCACCGUGGUUCCUUUGAGUGGUAUUAGUUGGUGGCUGUUACACUGCAGAGUUGCAUGUGGUCUGAAUGAAAGGACCCUUGCGGGGGCACCGGUCGUGGGAAGAGGAGCCUCUGGCUGGAGCUGGCGUGUCAUGUCCCUGCUCACUUGGUCAUGGUCAGCUACCUGCCAUUCUGUCCCUGUCCCCCGGGUCGGUGAGCCCUGCCUGAACGAGGUCAUAGUCAGGGUGGAACUAGGGCUGCCGUUGGCCUUCGCCUUAAAGACAGUUCUUUGCGAUUUGCAAACCAUGCUUCAUUGAAUCGAGAAAGAAGAAACUGCCAGCUGAGCUCUGACAGGUCGUUUGGAGAAACAUCCCAAUGUCAGAGGCGCUCAAGAGUGGAAGAGGGAGCGUAGGGUCAGUGAAACACCAGGAAUGUUCCCGGGGCAGGGUGGGGACAGGUGCUCAGUGCUGAGUUGGAGCGCUGAGGUGGCCUGGGGCUUCAGCCAGCCCUUCUGUAGAUGCUGGACGAACCUCUGCUCCCGUCCCAACCAGAGAAUGGGCCCCAGUGAGACAGAAAUGUCCCCAGCGCUGAGAGUCCACCCAAGGCAGAUGGGGGCAGAGGUCUUGAGAGCACCCCAGCCCAGAGCCCCCCCCAGGCCAGCUCUGCAUCUCCUUUGCCUCCACUUCACGGCGUGGGUGUUGACUGCCCCCACACGCAGUGGGGGCUCUAGGGGGUGACAAGAGAGGAGGUACAUGCGGCGUCCUGCCCAGGCUGACAUCAGUGAAGGCUGGUCACCUGUCACUGUUGUCCACGGUAUUACCACCGCAGUGCACGAUGCACGCUGGCACAGUUGACCCUGUCAGAGGCAGCAUUGCAGGGCUGACGCUGGGCUCCCGUGGGCAUAUCCGAAUCUCACCCCCUGGUACUGCCCAGCGCCUGCUUGUUUCUCUCGUGGCAUUUUUGCCUUUUGUCAGGUCACUGUGGCCUCCCUGUGGACUGUAGGCGUCCUGAGGGUGGCACCGGGUGGGUUUGUUCUGCCACGUCUCCCGGGGCCUGGAGGACGCGCGUUCAGUGUGUGUGAGAGGCACAUAACCUGGUGGUUAAGUACAGACUGGGGAACCAGACCUCUUUGGAUUCCGAUCUCCACUCUCAGCAUACAAGCUGUGUGACCAUGGCCAAGCCACUGGCCUCUCUGUGCCCCUCAGUUUAUCCAUCCUCUGCCCUGGACUGUGGUGGGGGGUAGCCGAGCUGGUGUGGAAGCCCGGACACAGGAGAGCACAGGCCGGCAGAGGAAGGGAGUAUACAGCACAUCAAGGCUGAGCCAGUGUCCCUCUCCGCCCCUGCUGAGGUCCAGGUCUUGACCCCUGGGUGGUGGGGGGGUCAUGGACGACAUUGAGACAGGGAACAGUGCUGCUCAGAUUCCUGUUGGAAGGGGAGAGUGGGGAAGGGCUGGGCCGGAACCAGAGCUGUCACUGUGAUGAUGAGGUAGACAGCUCCAAGGUACCCGGAGCAGCUGGAACCCUCAGGACUCAGUGCCCGAACGCAGGGUGGCGGGGAGAAGGCUCUAGGCUGCUCCCCCGGGGGGCCGACCUGGGCAGGAGCUGCUGGGCUUGGCUCACACCCACACCGACCUCGGGUCCCCUGAGCACCUGCAGAGAUGGCCUCCUGCAAAGCAGGGCCACCCCCACGGCUAAGGUGGGGGCUCUCCAGGUACUCGGGGUGCCCUGGAGGACGAACGGGCUGGCGCCAGGGGCCUGGCUCGGGAGCGUCUCUGGUGGCCACUCGUUCCUGCCCUCAGCCCAAGUCACGGUCACGGCACUUGGCAGUUACCUGUCGCCGUCCCCGUCUGGCUGAAAAGCCUCGAGGCCUGUGAGGGAGGCGGGCUUCUCCCGGUUUCGCAGAGGAGGAAACCGAGGCUCCGGCCCGGAUCUUGGCCCUGGUCUCCAAGUUCAGAUGUGGGGCCAGACUCGUCCCCCCACCCCCAAAAGCCGUGCCACCACCCUGGCUGUGUCCACACCAGCCCCACACGGAGAGGACAGACUGCAGAGCAGACAGAUGGGUGCCUAGAGGCCCCCAUCCACCCCCUGCCAGCCCCAGACAACGGCAGGCAGUUUGCAGGGCUUGGCUUCUUCAGGAGGUGGGGACAAGGGCAGAGCCACUGCCACCCAGGGCCUCCGAGGUUACUGCCACCAGCCCAGAGCUCGGGAGGUCAGCCGUCAUUCUUUUGGAACUAGGAACCGUUGUCAGUGUUUUUAUUCCCCCUUCUUAAAAUAGCCAGCUGAGUUCACUUCUGCGGUUAAAACCAAAAACAAAAUGCAUAUCCUCAGAUACCCGUGGCUUUAAAUUUCUGUUCUUAAUUGAGCACGCCUGCCACUGGACAUCUUUAUGAAGGAAGUCUCUGCCCAGCCUUGCGGUCUAUGCCGAGACCUGAGAGGGGUCUGGGCACGCCCCUACUUCUCCAGGAUCGCUCAGGUGGCUCUCGGGCCUCUCCGGCCUCUUCCCUUCCCCCCCCCCCGCCCCGUUUAGAUGGACAGAAGCGCCCCCUUCUCCUUCCAAAAUACUCCAUCCUCUGAAUGGCUCUGCCCACGGCUGGCACUGAAAACUAAAGACCUUGCCAGGAGUUCCCAUUAUGGCUCAGCGGGUUAAGAACCCAACAUAGUGUCCAUGAGGACACAGAUUCGAUCCCUGGCCUCGCUCGGUGGGCUAAGGAUCCAGCAUUGCCAUGAGCUGUGGCGUAGGUCACAGAUGCAGCUCGGAUCCCGCAUUGCUGUGGCUAUGGUGUAGGCUGGCAGCUGCAGCUCUGCUUCAACCCCUAGCCCAGGAACUUACAUAUGCCGUGGGCGUAGCCCUAAAAAAAGAAAAGAACAGGGGGAAAGAAAGGAAUUUCUGUCGUGGCGCAGCAGAAACAAAUCCGACUAGGAACCAUGAGGUAGCAGGUUCUAUCCCUGGCCUUGGUUAGUGGGUUGAGGAUCCGGCGUUGCCAUGAGCUGUUGUGCAAGUCGCAGACGUGGCUUGGAUCUGGUGUUGCUGUGGCUCUGGCGUAGGCCAGAGGCAACAGCUCCAAUUAGACCCCCUAGCCUGAGAACCUCCCUGUGCCACAGGUGUGGCCCUAAAAAGAUCAAAAAAAGACCAAAAAAAAAAUUAAAAGGAGAAAAAAGACCUUGCCGUCUGUGCUUAGGUUGGCAUCAGACUCAUGCUCCAGGGGUCCUGCUGCAGCCACCUUGGUCCCUUGGGGUAACUUUCCUCUUACUUAUAAAUAUCCCAGCUGCCUGCCUAAUAGCCCACUUGACUUUCCAAAACCAUCAUAAUUCCAGUUCCCUAGUGGCCUAGAGGUUAGGGAUCCAGCAUUGUCAUUGCUGUGGCUCAGGUUCAAUCCCUGGUCCAGGAACUUCCACAUGCCACGGGCACAG
ensembl:lncRNA